rnacentral:rRNA from 1 species
ACACAUGCAGUCGAGCGGUAACAGGUCCUUCGGGAUGCUGACGAGCGGCGGACGGGUGAGUAAUGCAUAGGAAUCUGCCCGGUAGUGGGGGAUAACCUGGGGAAACCCAGGCUAAUACCGCAUACGUCCUACGGGAGAAAGGGGGCUUCGGCUCCCGCUAUUGGAUGAGCCUAUGUCGGAUUAGCUGGUUGGUGAGGUAAUGGCUCACCAAGGCGACGAUCCGUAGCUGGUCUGAGAGGAUGAUCAGCCACAUCGGGACUGAGACACGGCCCGAACUCCUACGGGAGGCAGCAGUGGGGAAUAUUGGACAAUGGGGGCAACCCUGAUCCAGCCAUGCCGCGUGUGUGAAGAAGGCCCUCGGGUUGUAAAGCACUUUCAGCGAGGAAGAACGCCUGGCGGUUAAUACCCGCCAGGAAAGACAUCACUCGCAGAAGAAGCACCGGCUAACUCCGUGCCAGCAGCCGCGGUAAUACGGAGGGUGCAAGCGUUAAUCGGAAUUACUGGGCGUAAAGCGCGCGUAGGUGGCUUGAUAAGCCGGUUGUGAAAGCCCCGGGCUCAACCUGGGAACGGCAUCCGGAACUGUCAGGCUAGAGUGCAGGAGAGGAAGGUAGAAUUCCCGGUGUAGCGGUGAAAUGCGUAGAGAUCGGGAGGAAUACCAGUGGCGAAGGCGGCCUUCUGGACUGACACUGACACUGAGGUGCGAAAGCGUGGGUAGCAAACAGGAUUAGAUACCCUGGUAGUCCACGCCGUAAACGAUGUCGACCAGCCGUUGGGUGCCUAGCGCACUUUGUGGCGAAGUU